AUGGACUUCCUGACCUCAGAAUGGAUUCCCUGACCUAAGAAUGAACUCCUUGAUCAUUUUGCAGGUGGUGCUCGGGAGCGCCAGUAGGGAGUGGGAAAGCAGACAGGGAAGGGAAAGAAGGCCAGCCAGGCACAGUGGCUCAUGCCCAUAAUUCCAGCACUUUGGGAGGCCCAGGUGGGAAUAUUAUUUAAACAGGGAUUGAUGGAGGACAAAAGGGGUUUCUGGUUCCAUGAGGCAGGAGAUAAAUGAGAUGGGAAUCCUGAGUCAUGCAUUUUAUUCACUUCUCUGGAACGAGUUUUGGGGGCUCUUUUAGCAGAGAAAAUAGGACAAGAAAAAUGGACUCAGCUGGCAUUGGACAGAGUCAAAGCCAAAUGACUUCUGGGUUCUAAAUUUUUUUGUUUUGUCUUUAUUCAUACGUGUUGGUUGUUUGGAUUGUUUUUCAUUGACCAUUGUAAGCUAAAUCCAUAUCAGGAGGAUCUGAAAAGCUCAUAAUAAAAAUAUAAAGUAGAGACCAAGGGUUGUAAAAGUGGCAUUUUACUCAAGAUAUAGUAAGGCUGUUUUACAAUAGUGGGUAGUAAUCAAUAAUUUAAAUGAAAACCCUCAAGGGUUAGAUGAUGAUAGAGCUGAUGCUCUUCUUAUUGACCAAGAUGCACCAACCAGUCUUGAAGAGGAUCUCGUUUUGUAAAGGAGCCAUGCAGAAGAAGAAU
rnacentral:lncRNA from 1 species